rnacentral:misc_RNA from 1 species
UAACCACUCAAGCCUAGCUUGGUAUUGGGGUUCGCGUGUUCGCGGCCCUUAAAAUCAGUGGCGGUGCCGUCUGGCUCUAAGCGUAGUAAUUCUCUCGCUAUAGAGUCCCGGCGGUUACUUGCCAGAACCCUCCAUUUUUUAA